rnacentral:rRNA from 1 species
AUUGAACGCUGGCGGAAUGCUUUACACAUGCAAGUCGAACGGCAGCACGGGUGCUUGCACCUGGUGGCGAGUGGCGAACGGGUGAGUAAUACAUCGGAACGUACCCAGUUGUGGGGGAUAACGAGUCGAAAGAUUCGCUAAUACCGCAUACGACCUGAGGGUGAAAGCGGGGGACCGUAAGGCCUCGCGCAAUUGGAGCGGCCGAUGUCUGAUUAGCUAGUUGGUGGGGUAAAGGCUCACCAAGGCGACGAUCAGUAGCUGGUCUGAGAGGAUGAUCAGCCACACUGGAACUGAGACACGGUCCAGACUCCUACGGGAGGCAGCAGUGGGGAAUUUUGGACAAUGGGGAAACCCUGAUCCAGCCAUUCCGCGUGAGUGAAGAAGGCC